ACUUGUAUAGUUUAAAUAAAACAUUUCAUUUUCAAUGAAAAAAUAAAUUUUAUUUUAUAAGUA
rnacentral:tRNA from 1 species